UACGGGGGGGGCAAGCGUUGUUCGGAAUUACUGGGCGUAAAGGGCUCGUAGGCGGCCAACUAAGUCAGACGUGAAAUCCCUCGGCUUAACCGGGGAACUGCGUCUGAUACUGGAUGGCUUGAAUCCGGGAGAGGGAUGCGGAAUUCCAGGUGUAGCGGUGAAAUGCGUAGAUAUCAGGAGGAACACCCGUAGCGAAGGCGGCACUCUGGGCCGAUACUGACACUGAGGAGCGAAAGCGUGGGGAGCGAACAGG
rnacentral:rRNA from 1 species